rnacentral:rRNA from 1 species
GAUGAACGCUGGCGGCGUGCCUAAUACAUGCAAGUCGAGCGAACAGACGAGGAGCUUGCUCCUCUGACGUUAGCGGCGGACGGGUGAGUAACACGUGGAUAACCUACCUAUAAGACUGGGAUAACUUCGGGAAACCGGAGCUAAUAGCGGAGAAGAUAUUGAACCGCAGGGGGCAAUAGUGAAAGACGGUGUUGCUGGCACUUAUAGCUGGAUCCGCGCCGCAUUAGCGAGUUGGUAAGGUAACAGCUUACCAAGGCAACGAUGCGUAGCCGACCUGAGAGGGUGAUCGGCCACACUGGAACUGAGACACGGUCCAGACUCCUACGGGAGGCAGCAGUAGGGAAUCUUCCGCAAUGGGCGAAAGCCUGACGGAGCAACGCCGCGUGAGUGAUGAAGGUCUUCGGAUCGUAAAACUCUGUUAUUAGGGAAGAACAAAUGUGUAAGUAACUAUGCACGUCUUGACGGUACCUAAUCAGAAAGCCACGGCUAACUACGUG